UCCGAUCAUCCUUACCUAAAGCGACCUGCAAAAAGAACAACGGAGUUGGAUGAGUAAUCUAGUAUUACUCAGUGAGCUGGCGGCCUCUACCCGCAACCUAGACUCUACCCAGACAACCCAAAAUAACAAUCAAUCUAGCCCUACCAUGCAAUAAAAGCUUAGGCUAAGCAAACCGUUACUAAGUUAGACUUGGCCUCCUGCCAUGAUCUAGCUUCAAGUAACGGGAACCUGCAUUAAUACAAGUCAACAAGCAAUCCCUAGUUACCAUAUAUACGCCUGAGUUCAAUACUCAUGUAGUGUUAGACACUUAG
rnacentral:lncRNA from 1 species